GUCUGUGGUGUUUCUGCUGAUAGAGUUGUCCUGCCUGUUGCUGAGAAAGAAGGAUGGGAGAUCUGGACUGCAGGAUUGUUGCCUUGCUGUUGGCCAUCUCCACAGCUGUCCGAUGCCAGGAGGAGAUGGAUCAGAAGCCUAUAGAAGUCAGCAAAGAAGGAGAUGAUUCCACCAUUGCCUGUCGGUUCAAAUCCAGCAAUAUCUAUGCUAUGCACUGGUACAGGCAAUAUGCAGGAGAAGCACCUGUUUUUCUCCUAAAGGUUACAUCAGUGGAAUCCAAGAAAGAUGACCGCUUCAGUGCCAAUUUUGACAAACAAAAGAAGCAGAGCCACUUCAACAUCACAAAGGUGCAGUUGAAAGAUGCCGCUAUCUACUUCUGCAGCACAGAUGGUCACAGCAACACAGAGGCACUUGCUGACUGUACAAAAUCUCACCAAGGCUAA